UUUUGCCCGAAUUUCAGAAAAUAAGAGUACUACCAUAUUUUUGGCUAAAAUAAUAAGCUCCCCCCAUAUUUUCUAUUUCCCCCAAUUUCUAAGAAAACAAGUGCCCUAAAUUUCAUUCAAAGGUUUCUGUUCAAUCAGUUUAGCUAAGUCGCUUAUUCUCAAUUCUCCAUUCUUAUGCGUUUAUCUGAUUUAUGACUUGGAAAUUUCAUCCAUGGUAACUUUAAGUCUCCUUGUUUGGUGGACAAAAGUGUUGGAACUCUUGAUGAUUUUGGAAAAUGGAAAUAAAACAAGGUUUCUUCUCAGCCUUUGAGGAAGAGGUGGUGCGGGUUAUCGUCAGGUAGGUCAGGAGCGAUGAGUCCGCCGAGAAGUGGGUCACCCAUCACUACUUUGCUUCAGAGGAAGAACAUCGGCUUCAUUGACUCUGUUUCAGGUUAUUUAUCUAAUGAUUCGAAGGAAUUUAAGAUUUGUUUCUGAACUAUAACUAUGAUUUGUCAUGUUGCUUGAAGUUCUGAUACAAUUUAGAAUUUUGAAUUCUUGAGCUGACUUCUUGUCAUUGUCGUUAUGCAAUCUGAAUCCAGAAGAGAAUUUUGCAAAGGAAUGUUGUUUCUUUAUUAAUUCUAGAUGGAUCUAAUUAAGAAGUUGUUGUCAUAAAAAUAUAUUGUGUUGCUGCUAUAACUAAGUAUUGAUAUGAAUAUUUUAGAUUGCAAGUUCCUUUUUAAAGAGAAAUUCUGAGUGUGAAAACAAAUAGUGGUACUGAGAUUAACUAGAAGGAUUUCGAAGUCCAGUUUUAGUGUGUGUUGUAAUUGUUCAUUAUCUAUUUCAUGACCAUUUCCCUGCAAUAGGUUGUGAAUAGCUUUGGUUCUACAGAAUUUUAUGUCUUUAUCUAGUUUUUAUUAAAAUUUUGCAUUGUUAUUAGCCUGAUUUUCUUCUGUCAUGUUAUUUCAUGAACUUGAUUGAGAUUUAUAAAGAGACAUAACACUUCAAUAUUUAGGACUCCUACCAUUUGGGACACCAUCUUUGCUCAUGUUGAUAUGUUCUUUUCAAUUCUUGUGGUUGUAAUGUCAAAACUUUGUUCCUUUAAGUUGUAUAAUAAUAUGCGAAAGUUCUUAUAUUUUUUAGUUGAAACUUAAAAUUUACCUUCUUGUUUGAAAGACUUAGAAAAGUUCUCAUCCAAAAUACUAGGAAGGAAAUGACAUCUUACUUAUCAUUUUGGUUCGAUCGAAAAACCAUAUUUAGAUAAAAGUCUGUUUCAAUACGUUCAACACCUUGUUUAAAGAGGUGCACAUGACUCAGUCCACAUGGUUGAUACAAGAUACACAGAUCAGGGAUGAGCUGCACAUUUCCAUAUUCCAAAAGUUUAUUCCUGUUUGUAGAUCUUUUCUUGGACGGUUUAGGAGCCAUAUAGAAAGUAGAAGACAUUCAGAAAACUAUAUCAAGUAAACGGUGGAGGACCUAGAGAAUGUUGUCUUAGUUUUCUUUGAGGGGUACGCUGGGUCACAACACUUUAGAAGAUCUCAGUUAAAGAAUAUUAGUUUCAACAGUUAGUACUCUAGGACAUUUUUUGAAUUUUUUUCAUCGAGUUAUUCAGGGACUGAGGUUAUGGCAUUCUAGUGUUUCUCGAGUUUCUGCUUUCAAUUUCAGUAUUCAGGGUAAUGAGCUGCUGAAAAUAUUAGGAAGAUCAACUCUAUCUAUCAAGAAGGGUCAGUGCCUCAUGCCUCUGAAUGCUCUGCCCUGUAAGCAUGUUGUGGUAUUUCUUUCAUACUCUUACGCUUUAUCCAUAACUGGACUAUUGUAUUGAUUUCUUUCUUGAAAUUUUAUCAUAAUCACGAUUUUGUUAACUUGGGUCCAGAAUUUAGUUUAGAUUAGAUGACUUCUACAUUGCUACGAUAUUGACCUUUGUAAUAUCAUCUUGUAAGUUUAUCUUAAAUACACUACUACGACGAUGUUGCUUACUACUGUCUUCUUAUUGUUUUUAAAUCUGUCUUUCUCAUAAAUGAAACAAUUUUUCGUGAAUUUUUAAAUUUUACAUGGGAAAUUCGUGGGGAAUGACUAAUUAUCUCACUGUUUGAUGUAUGACCAUGCAGAUUCCUUGGAUUGUUUGUUGUUAGUUUGUACUUAUUUUGUUUUCUCAGCUUAGACGACUAGUGCGGUGGUUCUUAUUAAGCUAUUCUGGGUAAAAGUUACUAACUAGUUCUGUUGAUAUGAUUUUCUCAAUCAUGGAAUGCUUGAACUGGACAUAUAUCAUGAAAGUUGUGCCGGACAACAGGCCUUCUGGUUGAAACUAUGAUGUGUGUUGCAUCUGAUGGUCAAAACUUACAAGAACAGUCAAUGGACUGAUUUCCCUGAAAACAUUGUGUCAAUGGCUAAGAAAGAUCUUCGGAUAAAGAGAUCUGGGACGGAGGUGGUGUUCAAUGGUAAUAACUAUGUGCUAGAUUUCUUCCAUAUGAUGCUAUUGGACCUGAAGUCAGGUAUGCAGCAACCUAUUGCAUGGAUUGAUGAAGCAGGCAAAUGUGUUUUCCGAAAAGUCUUUGCUUAUUGCGAUGAGUUGCAUGGCUUCCUUCUUUGAAAGGAAGGAAUACGAGUAUUAUGAAGUAUGGGCUUGCUAUUUGUUAUCCAUCCAGAACCAACUCCAGUUACGACAUUGGUGUUCAUCUUUUCCCUGCUAUUUGUAGUGAGAUCAGGUAGUGUUGUUUCCACCUUUUGAUUUUCAGUCAAACUGAUUUUUUGUGCAAUAUGGACAAAGUUGAAGAAGGACAUUACAGGUGCAUUUUAGAAACAAGUUCUUUUGGUUAGUAGAACAUGUAAUGAUACGUCAGCUAUAUUUUUCUGAAAAUAGUUGGGUAGUGACAACAUUCACAGACCUCAAGGUUUGGGGGGGGGGGGUUUUAUCUGAAACAUUCGUAUAGUUUUACUGGUAAAACGGGAUGAAUGAUUGUUGUAGUGCAUGCCUCUGCCUAUAUGCUAUGCUGAUACAGAUUUUGAAGAGUAGGACAAGUCUUAAGCUUAUUGAUUUCAUUUUGUUUAGUCAAUUUAUAAGUUCCCUAGUGUUUGUCAUCUAUAAUAGAGGAAUAUCAAUCAAGUUUGUCAAUUACUAGUUUCUGGUUUUUUCUUUUCGUAUGGUACCUGUCCAUUUUCCUGAACGAUAAUUAGUUUGAAUUUUCACAGAAAAUCCUUCUUGUUGGUAUUCCGGUUUUCAUAGUAGAAUGAAUUUUUUUUUGUCCAGUCAGUGUCAAUGAUCUCCCACAUUAUUCUAUCCAUUUAUUAAUUCCAUGGUGCUAGUCAAAUGUACGAGCCUAACCUGUAAAAUCUGUAAAUAAUGACAUGUGUUUAUAUAGCUGUUGCAAUCUGCUAUAAUCUAGUGAUGUAAAUUCUUGAAAGAGUUGAUAACACAGCUUUGCCGGUCUUUGUCCCAUCUUGCACUUCUGUUAGGAAACAAUGUGUUUUUUUCAUUUUAUUGCUCGUGAUCCUUGUUCUCGGUCACAUCAUUAUUAUCAAUGUUUAAGUCCAUCAUCUCCGGUACAGCAAGGUGAUUGAACAUGUUGUUGUUCUCAUGUUUGCUACUGUUAAUGUCCGAAUGCUUUUUUUUCCUUCAUCUUGUUUAGUUGUUGUUUCACCUGGUUAGUCUCCUCAUUGUUUUUCCUUUUUCCUUUCUUCUUUUCCACAUGUUUUCAGCCCUCUUCUAUUUCACUAGUUAAGGCUUGUAGAUCUUUUUUGAAGUUCAUAUCCAUAUGCAUCUCUUUUUGCUGAAGCAA